UGUUUAUCUGCUAAUUCAAAAAUGGCGGUCACAAGUUUCUGUUUGUCUUGUUGGUCACGGUAACCCCGCCCCCAGCCGCUGACGUAAGCGGUUCUUACUUCUGGCCCAGCAAUGAUUUGAACUCUCUGGCUCCGAACCAGCACCAGCUCUGCCUUGGUGGAAAAGGGGUACGACAGACACACAAACAGA